GUAAGUAUAGCUCAGUGGUAGAGUGCCUGCUUAGCAUGCAUAAGGUCCUGGGUUCAAUCCCCAGUACCUCCA
rfam:Camelus ferus unplaced genomic scaffold scaffold1558, whole genome shotgun sequence.